GAGUCGGUAGUGUAAAGGUUCAGCACGUGCUCACAGAAAGAGUGAGAUCUGGUUUCGAAUCCCGGCUGACUUA